rnacentral:rRNA from 2 species
UUGGCCCAAUUGAUUGAUGGUGCUUGCACCUGAUUGAUUUUGGUCGCCAACGAGUGGCGGACGGGUGAGUAACACGUAGGUAACCUGCCCAGAAGCGGGGGACAACAUUUGGAAACAGAUGCUAAUACCGCAUAACAGCGUUGUUCGCAUGAACAACGCUUAAAAGAUGGCUUCUCGCUAUCACUUCUGGAUGGACCUGCGGUGCAUUAGCUUGUUGGUGGGGUAAUGGCCUACCAAGGCGAUGAUGCAUAGCCGAGUUGAGAGACUGAUCGGCCACAAUGGGACUGAGACACGGCCCAUACUCCUACGGGAGGCAGCAGUAGGGAAUCUUCCACAAUGGGCGCAAGCCUGAUGGAGCAACACCGCGUGAGUGAAGAAGGGUUUCGGCUCGUAAAGCUCUGUUGUUAAAGAAGAACACGUAUGAGAGUAACUGUUCAUACGUUGACGGUAUUUAACCAGAAAGUCACGGCUAACUACGUGCCAGCAGCCGCGGUAAUACGUAGGUGGCAAGCGUUAUCCGGAUUUAUUGGGCGUAAAGAGAGUGCAGGCGGUUUUCUAAGUCUGAUGUGAAAGCCUUCGGCUUAACCGGAGAAGUGCAUCGGAAACUGGAUAACUUGAGUGCAGAAGAGGGUAGUGGAACUCCAUGUGUAGCGGUGGAAUGCGUAGAUAUAUGGAAGAACACCAGUGGCGAAGGCGGCUACCUGGUCUGCAACUGACGCUGAGACUCGAAAGCAUGGGUAGCGAACAGGAUUAGAUACCCUGGUAGUCCAUGCCGUAAACGAUGAGUGCUAGGUGUUGGAGGGUUUCCGCCCUUCAGUGCCGGAGCUAACGCAUUAAGCACUCCGCCUGGGGAGUACGACCGCAAGGUUGAAACUCAAAGGAAUUGACGGGGGCCCGCACAAGCGGUGGAGCAUGUGGUUUAAUUCGAAGCUACGCGAAGAACCUUACCAGGUCUUGACAUCUUGCGCCAACCCUAGAGAUAGGGCGUUUCCUUCGGGAACGCAAUGACAGGUGGUGCAUGGUCGUCGUCAGCUCGUGUCGUGAGAUGUUGGGUUAAGUCCCGCAACGAGCGCAACCCUUGUUACUAGUUGCCAGCAUUAAGUUGGGCACUCUAGUGAGACUGCCGGUGACAAACCGGAGGAAGGUGGGGACGACGUCAGAUCAUCAUGCCCCUUAUGACCUGGGCUACACACGUGCUACAAUGGACGGUACAACGAGUCGCGAACUCGCGAGGGCAAGCAAAUCUCUUAAAACCGUUCUCAGUUCGGACUGCAGGCUGCAACUCGCCUGCACGAAGUCGGAAUCGCUAGUAAUCGCGGAUCAGCAUGCCGCGGUGAAUACGUUCCCGGGCCUUGUACACACCGCCCGUCACACCAUGAGAGUUUGUAACACCCAAAGUCGGUGGGGUAACCUUUUAGGAGCCAGCCGCCUAAGGUGGGACA